rnacentral:rRNA from 1 species
UACGUAGGGUGCAAGCGUUAAUCGGAAUUACUGGGCGUAAAGCGUGCGCAGGCGGUGAUGUAAGACAGGUGUGAAAUCCCCGGGCUUAACCUGGGAACUGCAUUUGUGACUGCAUCGCUGGAGUGCGGCAGAGGGGGAUGGAAUUCCGCGUGUAGCAGUGAAAUGCGUAGAUAUGUGGCGGAACACCGAUGGCGAAGGCAGCCCCCUGGGCUGAGAUUGACGCUCAGGCACGAAAGCGUGGGGAGCAAACAGG